ACCAGUAACAAACGGCCCUGGCACUUUCCAGUUUUGCGACAAACAUACAUACACAGGUGCAUAUUAACAACCGGCCUACAACAAUCACCAUUAAGUUGGUGAGUUACACGUAGUUUACUUUUGUUUGCACAAUGCGCAUGUAUAACUAUUGAAAGCAAAUUUGUAAUAAAAAAGUAAAAGCUACUUCUCAGCGGUCUUAAUAUAACGAUUAUGCACUUAGUUAACUUUAACAACCGCUUUUAUGAGCACGUCAAACAAAUAUGCAAAUAUCAACAUAUGUAUGUAUCUCUAAACGCAAACGUGGGUAGGUACAUAACAACCCAACAAACGAGUCUGUCAAUGAGAAGCAUAUAACACGGGGCUCUCUGUAUCCAACUAGUGCUGACGCCAAUACUACUAAAUAUGUAUUAAAUAACAAGUGACUAUGAAGAGCGAGUGGAAACGUAAGAUUGAAAAUCACAUUGAAAGUAUGGAUAACGCAGCUGAAUUGUUUGCUAUGUAAAACUUAAACAAAGCACCUUUGAAAAUAAACUAAACCGGCUGUAAUGCAUAAUAUUUGCAGAACUUACUAA